GUGCUGUGUGAAAGAAGAGGAGGUUGGCACUCCCCUUGACAGGAAUGAACGAGGUCCUCCGGCCCAACACAGAUGGUUAGGGCAUUGUCAACUACUUAAACGUUAACUACAGUUUAGU
rnacentral:ncRNA from 1 species